rnacentral:rRNA from 1 species
GUAGGGAAUAUUGGGCAAUGGAUGCAAGUCUGACCCAGCCAUCCCGCGUGCCGGAAGAAGGCCCUCAGGGUUGUAAACGGCUUUUGACGGUGAAGAAUCGACAGGAUGCGUCCUGUUUUGACGGUAGCCGUUGAAUAAGCACCGGCUAACUCCGUGCCAGCAGCCGCGGUAAUACGGAGGGUGCGAGCGUUGUCCGGAUUUAUUGGGUUUAAAGGGUGCGUAGGCUGGAAGGUCAGUCAGCGGUGAAAAGCUGUCGCUUAACGAUAGUCUUGCCGCAGAUACUUCCUUUCGUGGAUGAGGAGGAGGCCACUGGAACGGAUGGUGUAGCGGUGAAAUGCAUAGAUAUCAUCCAGAACACCGAUUGCGAAGGCAGGUGGCUGUACCUUAAUCGACGCUGAUGCACGAAAGCAUGGGGAGCAAACAGGAUUAUAAACCCGGGUAGUCC